rnacentral:rRNA from 1 species
AGAUUGAUUCUGUCUUUAAUUUAUUUUUAAUUUAGUUAUUAAUUUAUAUUAUAUACAAGUUUUUGCGUGUUUUGAAUUAAUCUAAAGGGUUAUUUAUAAAAUUUAUUUGUAGUUUUUUAUUUUAAAUAUUGCGUAUUCGUAGAUUUAGUUACUUUAUUUAGGGCUGUUUAAAGUUGUGCCAGCAUACGCGGUUAUACAGUUAGCCCAAAUUAAUUUUAUCGGUUUGCAUUUUACAUGUUUAUUUGAGAUUUUAUUGUUUUUUAUAAGGUGGAAUUUUUAAUUAUUAUUUAUUCUUAGGUAUUUUAUUAUGCUAAAUUAAGGAGUUAAACUAGGAUUAGAUACCCUAUUAUUCUUAAUGUAAAUAUUGAACUUUAUUAUUAUUAGUUAUGAUCUUUAAACUAAAAGGAUUUGGCGGUAAUUUAGUCUUUUCAGAGGAACCUGUUCUUUAAUCGAUAAUCCACGUGGUAUUUUACUUUAAUUCUGUUUGUAUAUCUCUGUCAUUGAAUGUUUUAUUAGAAUAUUUUCUUUAAUUAUUAAUUUAUAUAAUGUCAGGUCAAGGUGCAGCUAUAUUAAAGGUAGAAAUGGGUUACAUUUAAUGUUAUU